rnacentral:misc_RNA from 1 species
UGCAUGCAAAAUGACGCCAUCUCUCUUCCAAAUGCUGCUAUUGGCUGCUGCCUCGAUAGGAAUAGCGCAAACGCGGCAUUUACUCGCCAAGGAAUUGGCAAAACACCAAGUGACGUCAUCACUGGGCACAAGGGUUGCUAGCGUUGAAACGCAGAGCAUUCUCAAAUAUUACAACAAUAACAACACGAGCUUUGCGGUAGAGGGCGCAAACGCCAGCUCAACACAGCAGCCGCAGCCGCAGCCAGCAUUGGAGCAUCCAAGGCAAAGACAAUUGAGGCUCGAGGACGACGGCAACGGCAUCGCUUUGACUGUCUACAUCAGAUCGCCGAAGAGUGUAGUUCAGGACUGGAGUUUGGUGUGCCAGCAGCUCUGCGGAGCUGGCCUGGGCGGUCCGCCGUGCGAUUCCCACUGCCACAGCAGCGAGGAACCGUCGCUUCUACCAGCGUUUUCCGGCUACAAACAAAAUAUUUGCAAGGAUCUUUGUAGACUACAGCUCGGUGAUCAAAGUUGCAACUGCACGGCUGACGAAGCGGUCACCACUAUGUCACAAAACACUACGAACUCCCAGUACGAAUGGGGCAAUGUAGUCUGCAACAGCUUUUGUGAACAUUCCAGAGAAACAUUGACCGGCUGUAGCAUCUGCAUGGAGGACGACGCGGAAGUGCAGGUUUCGAUGCGAUCCACGGUGGAAACAACAACACCAGACUGGAAGGAGUUGUGUGUCGCUUUAUGUAAAACUGGCGAUGGCGGGUCUUUGUGCAAUUGUGAUUUGGCGCCGUUUUUUUAAAGAUCUAGCAGGGCGCGAGCACGGGUGGGCAACAUUAAACAUUCGGAUGUUUGAAAGCGACCUAGCCAAAGAGACUCAAAGGGGGUCCUUGCUACCUGUGAAAUGUUGCUGACUUUUAGCUGCUCUGCGAAGUCUCUUAAAUGAAAUUUAUUUCGACGACAACACUUUAUAGUUAGUAUAUUGUUAACUGUUUUAAUUGGCUUAACUUAUGGUAUGUUAUUAAAGAAAUAAACUACAACUCAUACAUACAUACAUACAUGUGAGAAUAAUUUAUGUUACAGACUUACAGAAAUUGUAACUCAGUUAAAUUUUCAUGGUUAGAAGAAACCUUAGCCAAUUCAAGUUGCUUUUGUUUCCUCAGUUUAUGCAGUACAUAAAUACAUAAAUAUGUAAAGCCCAGAAGGUGUGGCAAGCGUUGCAUGAGAGUGAGAAAGUAGACGUGUCAAAUUAAAAU